rnacentral:rRNA from 1 species
AUUGAACGCUGGCGGCGUGCCUAAUACAUGCAAGUCGAACGGAGUGGCGCACGGGUAAGGACUAUAUAGCUAAUCUGCCCCUUGCUGGAGGAUAAGGGUUCGAAAUGACUGCUAAUAUUCGAUAGCAAGGGAUGAGAUUAUAUCGUAUCAGCUAGUCGGUGGGGUGACGGCCUACCGAGGCUAUGAGGCGUAACUGGUCUGAGAGGAUGAUCAGUCACAUUGGAACUGAGGCACGGUCAAGACUCAUACGGGAGGCGGCAGUAGGGUGUAUUGGCCAAUGGGGGAAACUCUGACGCAGCAACGAAGCGUGAAGAAUGAAACUUUUCGGAGCGUAAAAUCCUUUUGUUAGGGAAGCGGUACCUACCGAAUAAGCACCGGCUAACUCCGUGCCAGCAGCCGCGGUAAUUC